UACGUAGGGUCCAAGCGUUGUCCGGAUUUAUUGGGCGUAAAGAGCUCGUAGGCGGUUCGGUAAGUCGGAUGUGAAAACUCAGGGCUCAACCCGGAGACGCCAUCCGAUACUGCUGUGACUUGAGUCUGGUAGGGGAACACGGAAUACCUGGUGUAGCGGUGAAAUGCGUAGAGAUGGGGGAGAACACUCGUGGCGAAGGCGGCCAGCUAGACCAGUUCUGACACUGAGGCGCGAUAGCGUGGGGAGCAAACAGG
rnacentral:rRNA from 1 species